UAAUACGUAGGAUGCAAGCGUUGUCCGGAUUUACUGGGCGUAAAGCGCGCGCAGGUGGCAUGGCAAGUAAGGUGUGAAAUCUCCCUGCUCAACGGGGAGGGAGCGCUUUAGACUGCCAAGCUAGAGGACGGUAGAGGGGGGUGGAAUUGCUGGUGUAGCGGUGAAAUGCGUAGAGAUCAGCAGGAACACCCGUGGCGAAGGCGGCCCCCUGGGCCGUACCUGACGCUGAGGCGCGAAGGCUAGGGGAGCGAACGGGAUUAGAUACCCCGGUAGUCCUAGCAGUAAACGAUGGCCACUAGGUGUGGGGGGUGUUGACCCCUUCCGUGCCGAAGCUAACGCAUUAAGUGGCCCGCCUGGGGAGUACGGUCGCAAGACUA
rnacentral:rRNA from 1 species